rnacentral:rRNA from 1 species
AGCAGCCGCGGUAAUUCCAGCUCCAAUAGCGUAUAUUAAAGUUGUUGCAGUUAAAAAGCUCGUAGUUGAAUUUCGGGGUUCUACCGUUGGUCGGGCUAUUGUCUGUACUGGCGUGUAGAAUUUCUACCUUCUGGGGAACUAUCAUGUUAUUAAUUUAGCGUGGUAGGAAACCAGAACCUUUACCUUGAAAAAAUUAGAGUGUUCAAAGCAGGCUUAUGUCUGAAUACAUUAGCAUGGAAUAAUAAAAUAGGACGGUGGUCCUGUUUUGUUGGUUUCUGAAUCACCGUAAUGAUUAAUAGGGAUAGUUGGGGGCAUUAGUAUUCAAUUGUCAGAGGUGAAAUUCUUGGAUUUAUUGAAGACUAACUACUGCGAAAGCAUUUGCCAAGGAUGUUUUCAUUAAUCAAGAACGAAAGUUAGGGAUCGAAGACGAUCAGAUACCGUCGUAGUCUUAACCAUAAACUAUGCCGACUAGGGAUCGGAUGAUGUUAAUUUUUUAAUGUACUCAUUCGGCGCCUUACGG